rnacentral:misc_RNA from 1 species
GAUGAAGAACGUAGCGAAAUGCGAUAAUUAAUGUGAAUUGCAGAAUUCCGUGAAUCAUCGAGUCUUUGAACGCACAUUGCGCCUCAUGGCAUUCCGUGAGGCAUGCCCAUCUCAGCGUUAGAAAAUAUUCUCAAAUUUUAGUUUUGUGCUAAAAUUUGGAUCAUGUCAAAGAAGCUAUUACUAUUAUUGUGAUCGCUCUUUGGAAAUUGAUAGGUCUUUGAGUUGCUACUCAUAGAACGUGAUGAAUCUUUCUUCGUUCUAUUGUAAUUCACUCUGGUAGUCCUAAAACUUGUAUGCCUGUAGUAUAUCUUGUAAUUUGACCUGAGAUUGGGUAGGGAUACCCGCUGAACUUAAGCAUAUCAAUAAGCGGAGGA